rnacentral:lncRNA from 1 species
GCAUGGGAACUCCUUUGUCAAAUGACACUGAUCACAAAAGUUGGUCUUACUUAAUGCAACCUUUUUCUUUGAAUGAAGGCUUUAGCAUAGCACUCCAUGACGAAAUAGAAGGCAAAGGAAAGGGGGAAAAGAAAGAGAAAAAUAAUUAUUAUUUUUGCUUCCAUUUAGGGUUUUCUGUUCUCAUCAUCGGAAUAAGAAGGCUGAUCAGUUUUUGGCCAUGGACGGGCUAUGCACUGUAGCUGUACAUAUCUUGGCAGAAGAAGAAGAAGACUUACUUGAUGCAAAUAAUUAGUAUGCUGAGAAUGUCUGAGCUCGCAGGUUUUGCAUUUGCAGCUUUUACUGAACAUAAGCUCAUAGAAUGCAACUCAGAGGAUUUGUUCCAAUCUAUCUAUGCACAGAUAAAGUUUGUGAUGUAUAGAAUAUAAUGCUCGGUGCAAAGUAUAGAAAGAAGCGUUUGGGUUGAGAGCAGUACAUGAUCUCAUUACACCUUCCACGGUAGGGAAGAAUGCCAGACAUGGUUUCUGAUUCCUUUGGAUGAUGCCGGUGGAACAACUUGGCACUGUGAAGCAAAAUCCAAGCUACAGUUUUCCGUGUCCCUGUGGAUCACCUCCGUAAGAUCUUUCGGUUGUGGAGUUGCUAUCAACCAACCAACCUGGAACUAUAAUCCAUGACAAGUUGGUCCAUGGCUACAGCACCUCUCUCGAUCUGUGUCGCAGUUCUUGUCCGUCAGUUUGGACAUGGCUUCCUCCUCUGCUGAAAUGUAGCUUUGGUUUCAUCAAGUUAUGCUAAUACUGCACUCACUGUUCAUGGAUCGAAGUAACUAUUAGAAUGGUAAGAUUGCUUCUUUGCUGGUUCAGAGUACAUGUAUCUGCUGCUGCAAGAACAUUUCUUGCUAUAGUUUUGUGUAAGCUGCAUCUGCUGCAAGAACACAAUACAUUCAUUGGCACAAUGAUAUGUGGGCUUAUCAAUUUCAUGAAGCUACAAAAAAACAUGAAAUUUUGAUCCAAAAAGCUUCCACUGUGGCUGAUGAUGAUCCUGAUCUGCAAGCAAUAAGUACCACAGGGCUCCAAUGAUGAACAUUCAUCUCAAAUGAGAACAAAGCUUUCUGUCAAUGGGGUGGACCAUAAUGCUAACCUAAUCAGAAUACGGUCGAUUCAAUAAUUGAAUAGGAUCCUAGCUAGCCAAUCUCAUUCACACAAAAAGAAAGAAAAGCUUUUUCUUCAUAUUAUUCCAGACCUCAAUGAAGACUAAAAGAAGAACAAUUUCAAUUCAGUCAAGAAGCUAAAAGGAGUGUAGUCGGAGAAUCUGAAGAACAAACAGCAUUGUGCAUGUUGCUGAGUUGAAUGAAGAACUUGUGUUCGAUCAACACCUUAUACUAACAAAGAAUGAUUGAUACACAUGAUUGACUUCGCGACAAACUCAGUUAAAAGCAAGCAAACAAACAAAAACAUGCAGAUCUUUUAAUUUUGAUAUGAUGUUCAUGGAAGUCUGAACUUAAUUCUCAUUGAAAAUUUAGAUCUUUGUUUUAUAUCAUCUCUUCCACAUAUUAUAUCAACAGUCUUUCUUGGAUUUCCUCUAUCAAUUUAAGAUCCCAAAUUGGUUCAUCUUAUCCUUUUGUGAGUGCAAAUUUCUGAUGAUCCAACUGAUUUUACUGUUAAUGCUACAUCUAAUGUUUUGUUUUCAUUUACCAUUAAGAAAGUAUAUCCUUAUUAACAAUAAGAAAAAUACAUCUUAUGGAGCUACCAACUCAUUGCAGAUUGCAGUGCUCAUAAAUGCAUAAUAAGUGAAGCAGACUUGAUUACCCAAUCAUAAGAGUCCUUUCUCAUAAUCAAAGAUAGUAACCAUUUCAGAUUUCUCAUCAAAUUAACUAUGCAAAUUCUUAUUUAUCUUAAUUGGUCACUAUCAGAAACAGCAUUGAUUGUUCAUUAUCUCUCAAAUUAGUGCAUGAUGUUUUGGUAUAAUACUGUCACUAGUCAUGGAACUCUUUUGUUGUUUGGAUCAAUGGAAUUUGCUACCAUGAAUGAACAGAUUAUCCAAUCAAAAUAAAAUUGAAGUUGAAUCAUUUUCCAAUCUGACAUCACCUGUGUGAUAAAUCUAUACAGCAAGUUUUGUCUCUGAACUCUGUGUACUUCAAACCGAUCAUGGUCUGCAUGUCUCAUGGCAGCAAUUCCUGGAGUGUCAAUUAGAUGUUGGGCAAGUUGUUGAUGGAAUCCAUCAACAGUUCCACAAAGUUUGAGAAACCAAUUAAGUACUACUGUCUGUAACAUCAGCAAAGAAAAAGACAGAUCACUUUCUCACCUUACAAUGGGACUUCAAUUCUCAGAGACAGAUCACUUUCCUCAAUUGCAUCAACUCCUUUUUACUCCUUGCAGCCAUCUCUCCCUUUCAGCAUCCCUUUUGUGUUUAGAUGCCCAAGCCACUGCCAUGGAACUAAACAUAACAAGAGCCAUGGGGAGAAGCUUUUGCAGUCAUAUAUGAACAUACAUAGCCAUACCAUUUUGGUGCUAAGCUCAACUGAGGCUCCACAGGUUCUGGACUCCAUGCAACCAAACGGUGAGGCUGCAUGAGACAAACGCUACAUGGAUGGGAACAGUUCAACAUGUGUCCUCCACCAGUGAAUCGGGCAUUAAAAGCUAAUAGGGCACCAAACAAAUCAUGCUAAUAUAGCUGGAUUUCCUUGGCACCCAUGUAGCUUCCAAGGAGAGGAAAGCAAGUCGAACUGCUGCAAGCAACAAGCAAGAGAAAAGAGUUGAAAGGAAAGGAACGAGUGUCGUUGAAUAAUCAACAAAUUAACAUUGAUUAUAAUCUUUCAAGUGAGAGGUUAAUUCAAAUUGCUGUUCUUUAUAAAGAAAGCCACAUAUAUGUACCUUAAAAAGAAUAUAAAGAGAGAGAGAGAGAGAGAGAGAGAGAGAGAGAGAGAGAGAGAGAGAGGGGCCAAAAACAACAGGAGAAGACCCUACCUACUUACCUAAUCUUCUGGCCAUGGGAAGCUUCAAAAACAAAAUGAAAAGAAGUUGAAAUCUAUGACAAAUCUUGAGUUCUUUAGGUACUCAGAUUCAUAUAAAUACUACACAAAAAUAAAAAUCUCCAUUCUAAUGCAAAAAAAAAUGCAGCUCUGCUAAUUCCAUGCUUUUCAUCACACAAUUCCCAAUUUUGAAACUUUAGGUCAUGCAAAGAUGUUGGUGCUCAAAAUGGUUCAGAUCUUUCAAGAUUAUUCUGAGAGCAAAUAAGAAGAAUCUUAUGCAUGCAAGUUGGAUUAAAAUUAGUAGCAGUCAUGAAGUCAAGUCAUGAGCACAUACAUAAAUUUGUGCGUGCAAGAGAUGAUGUAAUAACCUGUAAAUCUUCCUAGAUAUUGGUAUAGAGACCCAUUGUCAAGAGAACAUUGCAUAAAAUAUGGCAGCCGAAACGAUUCAUAGAACAAAACAAGUACUCACAGGGUAGGAUGCCUUGGUUCUCUUCCAAGGUCGAGAUCUCAAAGGCACCAACAAAAUGAGAGCCAAGCCAUCCCAUUCCUCUUACAUGAUUAGGGGUCUUCUUUGUUGUCACAAGGUAUCAACAGUAUCAGAAUAGAAACAAGCACAAUACCCAUGAAUCCAACAUGGUAAGGAAAUCAAGAUCAGCAAACAUCUCAUUUACUUCCCAGAUUCGUCAUGCCAAGCGAGUCAAGAUCAGCAACCAUCCCAUUUACUUCCCAUGAAACCUUAAUUAUUAGGUUAAAAGGAGAAAGAAAGAAAAAGUAGGCUGAGUUUUCUCUGUGCUCUUUUGGUGCUCCCACCAGUAGAUGAAGCUGCAACAUGAUCUGCAUGACUUCAUCCAAGAUCCAGAAGAUAGAGAGGAUGGAGGAAUUCUCAGAUCAUGCUGGCAGCUUCAGCUUCUCAUGGUGCACCCCCAUCACAGUUAAACCCAUGGCCAACCACAAAGAGAGAGAGAGAGAGAGAGAGAGAGAGAGAGAGAGAGAGAGAGAGAGAGUGGCGGCUGUGGAGGGGGAAGGAGGUGGGGAGAGGAAAUAUAUAGAAGGAAGGAGGAAAGGGGAAGGUAGAGAGAGGCUAUCUAAUUUGGUUGUCAUGGGAUUUCUGGCUUAAUUCUGAGCAAAAAAGAAGGCUAAGAAUAACCUAAAAGUGUGGUCCAGAAUCAGAAGACAACAUUGAAUGUUGUCAUACAUGCAUGGGCCAGUUGGGGGCUUCUAACUUUAUUGUGAGCUACACCGAAGACUGCUGGUGACAACCUUUCAUGCAUCUGCACGUCCCUUUCCAUGGAAUGCAUGCCCUACUACAUACAGUGACGGCACAGGUGAGGGGGCGCAGGAUAACGAAGGCCAUGAUGGACCAACACCACCUUGCUUCCACAAGUACGCUGUUCUCGCACAAGGAUGAGGUGAGCAUAUCAACAAGUGCAUGUGAUAUCUCUUCCCUAUGUGUCUCUGUUUGUUUGCGUGUGGGUCGGAGGGAUAAGCUCAGAUCUCUCUCUUGUACGUUUAUCACAACUACAGUUGAGGCCCAGUUUUGGUGGCACACAAACAUUUCUUUGACAUUAAAUUAUAUUUUGAUUAAUUUUAUUUGCCUUUUAUUCUGAAUCAUUAUAUUAUUUGCUGAAAAAACAAUUUUUGUAGGUCGAAGAACAUCACUAGGAUGAUUGAUCCCCUUGUUUCUUCUGCAAACGUUCUUUGUCGAGUGAGGAUCCACUGUCCGCGAAGAGAAUGCACAUCUGUGUCUCUGGCAUGUUGCUUGCAAGAGGUGUAUGGUGUAGCUGUCUUCAUAUGGCAGCAUGGUGAAACCAGCAUUCACAAGCCACUGCAUGACUGAAGCGACACAGUGAUACGUCUGGCAAAAAUGUGCUUUUGGAUCGGGGAUUCUAAUAUGAGAACAAAUGUUGGAAGGAUUCAACAGAUAAGAAGAGAUUUCGGCAGGAGAUUUGUUUUGUUGCUAUCAGUUCAGACAAAGACUAUAUUUUGGUUUCUGUUCUUCUAAAUUUUCUUCCCCGUUCUUAGAAUCCAAAACCUUUCUCUUUGCUCGAUGCUCGUUUCACAAUCUAAAUCUCUCAAGUUUGUUGAGUAAGAGAUGAGAUGAAUUUUGAUGGCAAACUUCACAGACUUCUCUAUUUUUCCAUUAGUUGAUGUGAAGAUUCACUUUUCCACUGAUCUUUAAUUUUUCUUUGAUGAUAUUCCAAAUACCUCUGUUAGAUCUAAAUGUGAGCUCAAUAGAGACUGAUAUCUAACUUCAACUUUUGGGAAUCCACACUUUUCCUUUACACUGUCAAGUCCAAACUUGUGUUUGCUGCAGAAUGAGCAUUUGCAGGUCUUGCUAAUUAAUCACUGUAACAUUGUUCUUAUAAAGAAAUCGAAGGCCUUAAUCGUAUUGCCAAACAACUGUGCAUUCUUUGUUAUGCAUAGACUUGGAGAAUAUGAAUUGCUUUUCAUGAAUUAAAAAUGUAUGUAAAGUUAGGUGGUAUAUAUUGAGCUCAAGUCAAAAGUAAUAGCAAGUGGACACUCCUUUUGAGUAGGAUUAAAAUGACAGCAUUGGUUCUCAUCACACAUGAACAAGAAUCGUUUCUUAGCAAUAUUAAGAGAAGCCAUGUCAACAAGUCAUUUUGUUCUAUCUAUCUGAUACCAUACAAGAAGAACAAAUCCCCACAUGAAGGAUCUGAAGCAAUCACAUCAGGGGUUUAAUUUUCCCAAUAAAUUCUCAUGCUUAGAGAUUAAUAUUUGAAGAUCUAGUCUGCAUGAACUGAAAUAUGCAACACUUAGCAAACAGGCUAGGGAGGUAAUGUCAAAAGAAUGCCUUUAGAUUCUCUACAGUUUUUGUAGAAUGGAUUAAGUUAAAUGUCUGAAGAAUGAGACUAAAUUUGUAAUAUCAUCUGAUUGAGUUACAGCAUGUGAUGUCAGAAUGAUCUGAGAAAAAAGGUUUCUUGGAUGGACUCAUCCCUGGGACAAAGUUCAUGGGGCAAUUUGUUUGUCUGCAGGUGAUGAAAAGGCAUUUGCCUGAGUUAGAAUUUGCCCCUUCAGAAGAGACUCAAACUCAACCUACUCAACUUUUCUCAGAUGUCAUUAAAGUCUCACCUUUCUUUUUAAGUAUGUCACGAAUUAGUUUCCUGCUACCAAAAAGGAUUGUGCUAAUUGAACUUCUUCUGAUCCAAAUGAAGCAAGAAGAUAGUUAAUUGUUGGAGUGACAUCUAUCACAUACUACUAUCUUCAGAGUCGUCGACAAGUCAGAAACUUGAAAAUGAAACAUUCCAUAUCUGUUUCAGAACCUUUCAAUUCUGGCAUCAAUUACUUUAUUUCUUCCAAGCAACAAUGUAGUCGUUUGAUCAUUGUGUUCUGGUCAAUCUCCACUGACGCUAGAAAUAUAUUUCUUGCACUGUUAUUUCCAAUAUUAUUGUCCGAAUAUAUUAGUUUAUUCUGAAGGUUAGGCGAGAGUGAAGAGGACAUGUUUGUCGCUUAUCUUGACUGUGACCUGGUAGAAUUUACAGAGCUGAAGGAAGACGUGAAUCUUGUCUCUUAGUGAACCCGACCACUUCAAACGACGGCAAUGGGAUGUUUUAGCACCAGAAAUGGGAGGUGAGAUUUGUGAGCGAGGAACAAAGACUUCCCAGGUCAGUUGUCUUCGGCAGCUACCAAGUGGCCACCAUGCAUCAGGGGCUGCAGUCUUAUCUUGAUGCCUAUUUCCAGUGAUCGUAGCAUGAAAUUAUCAUCACAAUUGUCUUGGACUUUCUUGCUUCCAAUGAAUCCUUGCAUCGGAGGCUAGAAAAAGCAUCUGAGUGUAAACAGAUUAGUCUUGGAGGAUUCAGAGAAUGCUUGUUUAGAUCAGGGAAAACAGAAUCACAAGAAAAUGGCCACAAAAAUAAUGUGUGUGCUGAACGAUGUCAAAAACUACUAUUCACAUCACAUUCAUGCCUUUUUGUUUCAGUUAGUGCUUUAUAUGACUGUAAAAAGCAAAGAAAAUUAAGAGCAAGAACACAUGUUGUCUGUACGAGAGGCAAAACGCGAAGGUCUCAAGAGAAACAGCAGGUGAAGUGGGUCUCCUCUUAUCUGCAGAUUCUUGACUUGCGCAGAAAAUGGAGAUUUAGAUGCCACAUCUUCUUUGCGCACUCAGGCUUUUGCAGAGACUAGAGAUGUGGGGAUGCCACACCGAGGAAAACACAAAGUCAGCAUGAUGUGAAGGGAACACCACAAGGAAAAGGAGCAUACUCGAAGGUACUGCUGCUGCUGCCUCUUGUUCUUCGUUUCCGGAGGUGAUCGUGAUGCCCAACAACGGGAAGAAGUGAGGCUGGCACAGCAUGACCUAGCGAUGAUCAACCUUCAUGAACACGCAUACGAGUGUUCUGGUCACCCAAAGCUAGAUCAUGCUGGCAGCUUCACUCAUUCCUCUGGGCAUUUCUUAGUAGCCUUGACUGAGCUCUUCUUCCAUCAGAAAGAAAAAGAAGCGUGUGGAUGUAAGAGUAUGAGAGAGAGAGAGAGAGAUAAAAGAGAAUGCGAGGGAACAAGGGAAUAUGACAUGAUAACUAGGUUAACAGUUUGAGAAAGGAAAAGAAGAGGAGUCCAAAGAAUAAAUGAUUGAGAGCUAGCAUGAGCAUAUAUCUGUAGGUCAACCCCUACUAUAUAUCAAAAUCCAGAGGAAUGUGAACCUUAACCAACAAGCAAGCAACACAAGUUCUCAAAGUUCAUUCAAGCAAACAGUGUUAUCAAAGUCGCAUAGAUAGAUGCAUAUAAUACAUCAACUGUUGCUUCUCCAAGGGAAAAUAAUAAGAACAAAUUGGUAGCUUUAUGGAGCUAAAAACAGAAAAUCCUGGAUCAAGAAAUCAGGGAAAGAUCAGAGAAAACUAAAGAACAAACAGUGUGAAGAAGAAAAAUAGUAGCUAAAAAAUGAUCAAGAAGAGAAAAGAGAGAUCAAACUAAUGCAAUGAAAAAGUUCAAAUCCAGAGAAGAAAAAAAGAAGCUGUAUAGGUGCAACUACUUAACUGGAGCAGCUCCAGACCAGACGAAGAGACAGGAGAAUCAAAGGGAGAGGAAAAAAAAAGGGGCAGAAAAAUGUCAAACUAUAGCAUGUAAAGCAACAUUACCAAAAGGAGGAGAGUAUGCCCGGAAUAGAAUAAGCAAGAAAACAAAGGUAAAGCAUGGUGGAGGAAGUUGAUGGGAAUAUGUCACACUCAAAAGACCCAACAACUGGAUUUAUAGAGGGAAGGAUGAAGUCUUUAUGCUGGUGGUGCGAGCAAUCCCCCCCCAAGAUAAAAUAUUCAAGCCAAAGCCAAAGACAAAGGUAGUUGAGACACAUAAAGUGAAGAGUUAAAGAGAGAAGGAAGUCGAGACAGCGGCUAGUGAGAGUGUUUAGGUGUUAGGGUUUGGGUCAGGGUUACAGUCAUACAGUGCUAUAUUAUGUCUAGGGUUUUAGGGUUGCAGGCUGUAGGGUGGCAUAGUGCAGCACCAAAGGUUUGGAGACAGUCAUAUAUAUAUAUAUGAGAGGCCGUACUCCAUGCGGAUUCAGAAGAUCGAUUAUUGGGUCUUAAAGCUUCAUGCUACAAUAUCGAGGACAAAAGUCCCUCACAUAUAUAUUCUUAUGAUGUAGUAGUUUCUACACAUAUAAAAUGCAUAUUACAUUUGCAGGUGUAGCCAUGCAUUAAUUUUAUAUAUACAUAUAUAUAUAUAUAUAUAUUAUAUGGAUAUCAACAAGAUUAAAUGCAUGUAAGGUUAUGGCCACAUGAAGUGUUGGAUGAAACAAGAUGGAGGAGUCUGAGAUGUGAGAUCAUCUUGCUAUAUCCGAAGCAGUGGAAGCCAGCUCUGAGAUGGUAUGCAAAUUAUGACCUCUGAAUCACACAACAAGAGAAAUAGCGUAGCAAAGAUGUAGAAUGAUCUGUAGCUUCAUGAUACAUUUAGUUCUGUGAUGGUUUGAUGAACAUUUAGCUGUCCAAGUGAAUUCUUUCAUGAUUGUUUCUUUCCUGAUAAAUUUGUGAAGUAUAAUAAUAAUAAUUAAUAACAUGAGUAGAAAGAAAAAUAAGGAAAAUAGUAGAAUGGAUUUGAGAAUUCUUCCAAAUUCAGUUUCAUUUAAUUCAGUGCUUUGAAUAAUUCGGGAACCAAAACAUGCAUCGGUGAGUAGAGAUAAUGCGAUGCAAGAUUGUGGCUGAUUAAGUUAACCUAAUCAGAUGCUAAAAGAUGGUGAUGAGCUAACUUGAUUCAAUUGUUUGUUGUGCAAGACAUGAUCAUAGUUGAAUCUACACAAGUCUAUUGCAUCAACCAGCUCGAUUAUGUUCUUGAAUGACCCACAAUUAUCAUCGGUCAUCGAAAUCGUCAUAAACAAGAUUUAGUUAGAUAAAUUUGUGAUCGAGAAAAUUACUUGAUGUUGGCUUGACUUAAUCGUUUAUCUAUUUUCACUACUUUUCUUAUGUGCAAUUAUGCUUGACAUCAUGUUGUUCAGUGGGAACUAUCAAAGGCAGUACUAAUGAAUUCAAGUGUGAAUUUGCAAUCCAUGUUGUUCCCUGUUGUCACUGAAAAAUGUCAUCUUGUGAAGGAAGUGCUGCUACUCCCAGACUGGGAUGAUGAGGCUACUUCAUAUUGAGAAGGACAUCAAAAUCUUCUCUGAUUGAGUUUGCAUUGUUGCAAAAGUACAUGAGAACAAUGGAGAGAGUAGAGAGAGAAAAAAAGUACUUGAUCAUCCAAAGGAGGAAUUUAUAUCUUCAACUUUCAUAAGGAUCAGGCCCUUAGUACCACUCAUCAUCAACCUAAUAAAUCAAUAUAAUAAAUACCAUCUCCAAUGAACAUAAAACCCAAUUAUAUGAUGUGAAUAACCCAUUCAAAUUCAAAAUGGUAACAACAGAUGCUAAUCCAAUGUCUCUCAUGUCAGAUGGAUGAAGAUGCCAAUAUAAAUAUGGAGACAAAAAUGAAUUGAGGCUUUAUUUCUUGUUGCUCUUCUCACUUUACAGUGUGAAUUCCCUGUUAAUAAUGUCAAACAACUUAAUUACCUCAGAUAAUAGCUUUCUUUCACACUUUAUCCCCUUUCACCAGACAAAGCUUGCUACCCAUACAGUCUUCUUCUUUUCUUUUAUCACCUCUCAAGGACUCCAGUGUUUAUUUUCCAUGCCUUCUUUCCAUCCAAUGCUUGCUUUUGUUCCUCUUGGGUGCUCCUUUACAUGUACUUGUAAAGUUGAGUCUGCACUAGUUAAAGAAGUACUUGAUUCAGCCACCUAAUGCCAAGAUAAAAUGUGUAUGUUGUGUGUAAAACAGAAAUUAUAAUGACAGUAGUAAUGUCAUUGAACUAUUUAUGUUUCUUCUAUAUUGCCAGGGCUGGUGUUAUAUAUCUAAUAGUGUUAUUAAUUAAGGUCUUGUCAAUAUUCUUUUGAAGCAGUAGUACUCGACCAUAUACAAAGUCUUGCUUUCAGCCUUCCCAAAGGGCCAGAUUCUAUUAGGUAAGCAACAUGCAUAUUUUGGGAAGGCAACCACACUUCCACAACAUUUAGAUCCACUGCAGAAAGGAAGGGAAUGUCACCAUGAUCUCCACAAUCCUUCUAUCGGAUACAGCUCCCCUGAACAAGUGUGUGUGUUUGGAUAAUGAUUUAAGAGAGAAAGAGAAGAGGAAGAAGGGAAUGUCACCAUGAUCUCCACAAUCCUUCCAUCGGAUACAGCUCCCCUGAACAAGUGUCUGUGUGAGAUGAGAAAAGAAGAGAGAGAGGACUACUUUCCCUUGCUUUGUUUGGGUCACAAAGAGGGAACACAAAAAAGAUCACUUUCAGUUCUUUCAUUCUCUUCAAGUGUCUCAACUUUGAGAGAGAGAGAGAGAGAGAGAGGAUGGAAGUUUGGGAAGAAGCUGCUGCCGUCCAUUUGUGUCCACUUUUAUGUUAAGUUAUUGCAUCCAAAAGACGAUCUUAAUUAUCUGCAAGAACUAUUUUGUUCCUGCCCAAUGGAUCUUAUGCAAAGAUGAUGAAGUAGUGCACACCCAUCUUUUCGUUCUCCUGUAUCUUAUCUAGGGUUGUACUCACUUUACAGCAUGAAAGCAAACGACUCCCAGCCAUAGAGAAGUGAACAAGAUAAAGAUCUUGAUGCAACCUGUACUAUGUAUGAUCUUCUGCUGGUUCUUAAUUAUGAACCAAAAGAACUUGUGAUCUCAAAUCUUUACGACAAACCUUUGCUCACCUCAAGCAGGGAAUGACUCUCUGUUUCCUGUGUUUGAUUCUGUAAUCUUUUAUUUCCUUCCGACAUUAUUGUAUCCAAAGGAGAGAAUCCACACCCCUCCAUGGAUCCACGUCUUUUCACCUUACACUACCUUACCAGUAUAGGAAUUGUUGGUGCCCCACUCGGACAAAGUUGUGGCUCGACAUCUCUUUAUCGUACCGGCAGCAAACAUUUAUGAGUAGGUUUAUUGGAUAGGGGAAUCAAAGUACCGGUGGCAAUAUCUGCAACCAAGUUUUCAUUUCAUGGUGUAAAGCUCAAUAAUGUGAUCGGUGGGCCAUCUGAGCAUCCAUGUAACGAUGAUCUCUGAGCUUCCAAGGAAUCAACACCUCACGGUGCAGCUGCGAUUGUACUCAGCUCUGCAACACGACGCAGUGGUCCAUGGUGUAAGCGAAAGAGAUAUACAUGGAAGUGGUAUGUUAGUAGGAACAGAUUGGAAAGAUGCUCGUGUACCAUUCUCCACAAAACAAACAGUUCACCCAUCACCGUCCCUGCCAUUGCAUCUGUGAGCUGAUUCCAAGGGGAUGCCAGUCUCCCCGUGCAGGGCUUGCAGACGGUGAAGCAACUUCCUGCGGAGUCCUAAUAAACCCUAGAUAAAAAAGAAAAACCCUAGAAUCGGAAACAAUGGCUUUGUGGUCCAUGCAUGCAGUAGCCUUUCUUUCUCUUUUCCUUGUCACCACCAUUGAAUUGCUGUGGUCCUGUCCUCUCUUCCCCAUUCAAUAAUACUCACCACCACCAACAAGCACAAGCAGGCCAUUAAAUAUCCGAUGCAUCGCAGCAAGUGUGUACUGCGUUUUGCAUAUUAUUAGGUCAUCGAGCAAAUUGGAUUGGGACCAUCAUCACAUUACGCCUAAUUAUGCUCUGUAUCGCUCGCACAUGCCAUUGUGAAAUCCGAUGUUACGCGUGAACGAGAAGUCCAAGUCCAAGAUCGUUUGCAUGUUGUCGAAUGAUUAGCUCAUGCACAAAGUAGAGCUCGAUUGCUAACCCAAAGAGCUAACGAGAUAGCAGAAGGCACACUUGUGCUGCUUAAAGCAGAAUGCUUGACGAGGAAUGAAAAUUCCACAGUGUUCAUGGGAGUUGAAUUGGAUGGAGGUGAAUUCCUAGACAUGGAUAUGCAAGAAGGCCACCGUGAUCGACCGCAGUGCGUUGCUGGACAGAUUCAGAACUGGACUGCCAGCGGAAACGGUGGCAAAUCCGGCCAGUUGAAAGAUCAGAAGCAGUGCUGAGUGUGGCCUCAGAUGCACCACCGUCUAGUUCUCUCGCAAACUGAUACGUGAGGCUAUAGAUGAUCCGUAGAGAAGCAUGUCAUCGCUGCAGCAGUUGCAGUGGGUGGAGACUUCGAUCUCAGCCAUGGCUCAUCUGGGUAAAUCGAGAAACAAGGUUGCCGAUGGAUUCAUGAUUCUAGCAAGCAGACAUGAAGCUUGCAACCACGCAUGAUUCUGUAAAACAAGGUGGAAUCGAGAUGAGAGCUGCCGGAUGAUGGUGAGAUCAAAGGAUGAAGGAAGCCUAGGUUUUGUAGUAAAGGUUGGCACCAUCCUGCAGAUGGAUAAGGUUGUAGAGUUUCGAUAGAAGGCUUGUGAAUCUUUUGAGAGGCAUUUGUGGUACUAUCACCAACACGCGUGGCAUUGUCAUUGCUCGACAUCAACACGGUAGAAAGAACAUAGAUGCUGAUGCGAUGAGCAGCACAACAAGCACACAACAAAGAUGACAACUCCCCACCUUCACCAUUGUUUGGGCACAAAAUGCAAGGUAAAUAAAUAUAUGCCCUGUCUGUGAUCAAUGUGUUAUCCACAUCAUAUCAUGCAUGAUGUGUGUGUUGAGCUUAUCACAAACAAAGUUCAAACAUAGGCCGAUUGUUGGGCCAAAAUCCAUAGGCCCAUGGGCUGAUGAAAGCAUUAUAUAAUAAUAAUAAUAAUAAUAGUUAUUGUUAUAUUUUGAAUAAUUACUAUACUUUUAUACUGGUAAUUUCAUAUUUGGGAUUAGGUCAAACAUAUGGUAGAUAAUAUGUUCCAGACUCCAUGAUCAUUCCAAACUUAAUUCACAAGUAUCAAUCAACAGACAAAAAUGAAGAAUUGUCAUUGCCGAAUAAAUAAGGAUAGGAUGAUUCAAUUAAUAUACAAGAAUGAGUAGAAAAAGAGACUAUAGACUGUCUCAUAAAGUAAUGAUCAUCACAUCUAAAUAAGUAAGAGAUAAUGAAUAGAAAGAGAUAAUGAUAAUUUGAUUAUGAAAAAUAGCUGCAAUAAUAUUUCAUUUGUACAAAUAGAAUAUACAAGAAGCAAUCAGGGAAUAAACAACAAUAUUAGAAUAUUUACAAAUAAUUGAUGCACUCUUCAAAAUUAAGGUUAUAUGCUUCCUUGAUCAGAAACAUGAGAGCAAAAGAUCUUUUGGAAAGUGGAUUUCGAUACAUCAAUUUAGAACUAACAAUAUUUUUUGCUUGCUCGAUUUCAGAAUCUUACGAUCAAUAUCAAGAUCUUUAUCAGCUAGACUAAUUAAUUAACAUCUUGCAUGUGAUAUUUGGAUAAAGUUUAAUUGAAUCUCCAACACUCAUCCCUCCAAAUCAGAAAAAGAAAGAAGGAAAAAUAAUAAUAAUAAUAAGGGAGAUGGUCAAAAAGGCAUAUAUGGUUGAACAGUCCAUGACAAAGCUUGUUUGAUGCAAGAAGUAGCAUCACAAAGAAGGAAUCCAAAGUAUUAAAGUGAUGCAUUUUACUGGCAUGAAAUGAAGGCUCUAUGGCACCAUCCUCUUUCUUUUCAUAGGACCGUGUGACCACAAUGACUCAGACAAGAUUCUUCUCACUGCCUUGUUCUUGAGGGUGCUCUCUCUCUCUCUCUCUCUCUCUCUCUCUCUCUCUCUCUCUCUCUCUCUAUUCAUCUGUGUGCAUGAUGUGGACAUUGCUGCUGCACACCCAUUGGACUAUGGAAUUCACGUCAAACCAUGGUAAAAGAGGAGGUGACAUGGUCACCAUGUGUGUGUGAUAGCAUGUCAAUCUAGAAUUUCCUGAAAUAUAUAAUGGUUAAUCAAUCAUUUUUACAAGAUAUAUAUGUAUAUAUUUUUUUUCUGUGCUCGAAUAACCAUUUAUGAGAUGAUUGAAGGUAUCUGAAGAAUUAGUAUUAUAUGCAUACAAUAUAAUAGAGUAUUCGAGUUCGAUUAUAUGACAUUUAAGAUUGAUAGUUAUUCCACAUAAAAUCCAAGAAGUAAUAAACUAAUGUCUCUACAAAAGGGAUUGGCUACCUAUAACCACUCACCCCCAAACAAAAGGAAGGAUGCCAAGUAGUCAACAUCCAACCACAUAAAAGUAUUGCAUAAAAAGACUUGCUUCAAGUGGCUCCCAAAGAUCACAUCAAUCAAGCAAUGUAAUAUAUAUAUUAUACAUUGUAGGCAAGAUUGCUAAGCAAAUUGAUAACAUGUACUUGUCAAUUCACAUUGAGUGGUGGUUGAUUUGAGCAUUUGAGUAGGUAGAUGAUACCUUUCAUAUUUGUAAGUGCAAGUGAGAUGGUCUAAGAAAGAAAACUGAAAACAAUGAGUUGAACUCUUCAUAAGCUCAAUUUCUUGGAUAUGUAUUCUGAUUAGGUCUAUAUAAUGGAAUAGUUCAAUUCCAACCCUAACUAAAUUGGAUUUGGCCAAAGAUCAUCAAUCAUGUACUAACCAUAGUUUUUGCUAAUAUAAUAGCCACUGAACAUCAUAACUAAAUCAAAAUUAUCUAAUAAAAAAGUUGGACUUGGGUUGGGUUACCCACCUAUAUAUGAUUAAUUAAUGGUAAUGGAUGCUUGUGUACAUACAUGUUUAAGAGAUAAUCCAAGACAGCUAUUUUAUGUUGAGACAAUCAUAUCAACAGAUAUUUAGGGAAUGGAUGUACUACAAGUAGAUACAUGAAAACAAAGCAUAGGCCAAGAGGAAGGGUCAUCUUUGUGGACCUUAGCACAGCAGUAGACCUUAAAAGGACUGGCAAAGGAGAAUCUUAUUGCAAGGACCCAACUUAUUGGUCCCAAGAUUAAACCUUUUCCAACAAGUAUGUGACUCUUGUUUUUUUUGUUGAAGCCAAUAAGAAAAAAGAAGUUUGAAGGCUUCAUCUGAAUCCUUUUAGAUCAUUUGGUGGGUUUGAUCUUAACCAUCAUUUUGAUUUAAUGACAAAACAUUCUUUUGUGUUUUUGUAAGCAUCAAGUCAAAUAUAUAGGAGGUUGUAGAUGAAAUUGUGAUGGUGUAUGACUCAUGAGGCUUAUUCAAAUACAAGAUUACAUAAUAAUAAUUAUUAUUUUUUAUCUCAUGUGUAAAUAUUUAUGCAUUGAUCUCUAUUUUCAUUGUCUGAUCAAUGAAUAAUAGUCAGCUGAUGAAAGAGUUCUUACUGCUUAAGCAAAUGGGCACUGCCUGUGGUUUUGACUUGUUCUUUCUCCAAAAGCAUGCAUGAUUGGUGACCAUAAGUUUGACUUGUCAAAAGAAAUCUUUUCAAAGCUUUCAGAUCAUGGAAAUGUCUCUCCAAAAAAUUAGAAACAUUGAGUUACUUCUAAUUAAGAAGAAAGGAAAAGCUACUACAAUUAUUCCAAAGAUAGAUAGAUAAUGCAAGAAGAAGAAGAAGAAGAAGACAUCCACAAACAACCACUCCUCAAGACCAAAAGUGGUGGAUUUAGCAACCCAACAUGCAAGCAAAACCCUAAUUGAUAUGGGUUUUCUUUCCUUCCACAUGCCUUCUUCUUGUUGCAGCGUCCAUCAUGGCCAUUGCAAGCUGGUCACACAACUCAUGUGGAAACCCCAAACCGUGUAUUUGGUGUCGCAACAGGCAAUAGCAGUCACCCAACGAGACUAUUAUUAUCUUAUUCUCCAUUUGCAGCAACCGGACAGUGCAUUGUCCCACAGUCGUCUUCCUUGUGUUGCUGUCCACCAUACUCGCCCGCACACUAACUUGAAACACAUGCUUCUCUUACCCAGUCAACCUUCAUUUCCUGGAUCCAUUUUGCCACAUCGUAAGAGAUGGAAGCAUCCUGCCAUUGCUCAUCUUUGGUCCCAUUCAUUGUCUGUGUCUAUAUAGAAGCCAAAGCCAAGCCAGUCUCCGACACAAACAUUAAACUUCAUGUGGAAACAUGGUCACCUCUAUCUGCCUACACAGAGCCUUGUUAGGCCUCUUCUUCCUGUGUCUUCCCCUCCUUUCGGCCUCUGAAUACUAUCGCCCUUCCAACCCCAGGCUCGAGAAGGCCUACGUGGCUCUGCAAGCAUGGAAGCACUCCAUCACCUCUGAUCCCAAGGGCUUCACCGAGAACUGGUGCGGCCCGCACGUGUGCAACUACACCGGCGUGUACUGCGCGCCCGCCCCCGACAACCCCCACGAGUUCACCGUCGCCGGCGUCGACCUCAACCACGGCGCCAUCGAGGGGACUCUCCCCGAAGAGCUCGGCCUCCUCGCCGACCUCGCCGUCUUCCACCUCAACUCCAACAAGUUCCACGGCGCCCUGCCUUCCUCCCUCGAGUGCUUGAAGCUGCUCUACGAGCUGGACGUCAGCAACAACCAGUUCGAGGGAUCGUUCCCCUCGGUCGUCUUCCAGCUGCCGUCGCUCAAGUUCCUCGACAUCCGCUACAACAGGUUCUGCGGCGACGUCCCGUCCUGCGUCUUCGACCUCAAGCUGGAUGCUCUGUUCAUCAACAACAACCAACUCACCUUCUCCAUACCGGACAACAUCGGCAACUCCCCGGUGUCGGUCCUUGUGCUGGCCAACAACCAGAUCACCGGGUGCUUCCCCAAGAGCAUAGCCAACAUGCACGAGACCCUGCGGGAGCUGGUGAUCCUGAACACCGGCCUCAGAGCAUGCAUACCGCCGGAGAUCGGGAGGCUGGACAAGCUGCGGGUGCUCGACGUGAGCUACAACCACCUGGUGGGGCCGCUGCCGGAGAGCAUCGGGGGGAUGAGGAAGCUGGAGCAGCUGGACGUGGCGCACAACAAGCUGUCGGGGGAGAUCCCAUGCAGCAUCUGCGACCUGCCCAGGCUGAAGAACUUCACCUACUCCUACAACUACUUCUGCGGGGAGCCGCCGCAGUGCUUGAAGAUCCGAAGCCACGACGACCGGAAGAACUGCAUCCCGUACCGGCCGGACCAACGGCCGCCGGAGCAGUGCAUGGCCUUCUUGUCGAAGCCGAAAUACUGCGACUCCAAUGGCUGCAUCGCACGGCCACCGCCGCCGCCUCCACCGCCAUCCUCGCCGCCGCCUCCACAUCAUCAUUACUGAGAUCGAUCCGUGAUCGGUGCACAUCAUUGAUCAGAAGUGUGGACUAUUGGUUGCUGGACACAGACUACAUUCAGAAUAAGGAUUUGUGUGGAGUAGUGGGAGACGGGCAGUUCAUCUUUCGUUUUCUUGCAGAUAGUGACAUGUAUGAGAUAAAAACAUCAAUUAAAAACAC